UUGAUUUUUUCAAAUCUAAUUGUAAACUUUUCAAUUUUAUAUUUAACUUUGCAUUUUAAUUUCGUUACCUUUUAUUUUGUCUGUUUGGUCUAGUUACAGUUUGUCUAAAUCGUAUACUUUCAUUAUCUUUGUCAUCUAUUUUUUGCAACUGAAAUGAUCAUUUCAUAUUUUAUUUUAUCACUUUGCGUUUCUGUUUAGUUAUUUAUCAUUUUGGCAUAUCCAAUGCUCUCGAGACUAUGUAUUGAGUUCACACAAAGUAAUUCUGGCCAUUUCAGCAGAUAAGGCAUUCAAGUUGAAUGUACAUUUUAACCUUUUAUAUGUUAUUGAAAAUGGACGUUGAUUUUACUUCUCCUAUGUUGCUAAUUCUUAUUCAUUUCCAUGAUUUUCAUCUUUUCUCUCUUAGAUUCAACGAUUAUAAUAGGUUAUUGUUUCAAGUUGAAGGUUAAUUGGUAAUUCUCGCGAUGAUAACUUUCAAGUUAAUCAUCCAAACACUUUCAUGUCUCUUAUAAAGUGACUAUACUUUGAUGCUCUUCUAUGACCCCUGCUUAAAGGGGGAACACAGGAUUCAUUGUUUAUUAAUCGCAAGAAACUCAUUGGUUGUCCUCUUCAGUUAACGGAUCAUCUGAAGCUUUAUUUACUGUAUAUUAACUCAUAAGGGACUGGAAAGAGUAAGGUGAAAGGUUACAAAGCAAUAUCCAAGGCCUAAGACAAGGAAGGGUGUAAAUUACAAGAUGUUACAAAGACUGGCAGUUACAAGGAAUUGUGAAUUUAAAUGAAAACAGAAAAUGUUAUUUCACCAAAAGAGAGUUGAAAUGCUGUAAACUGUUCACAUUGUAUAAUAUUGAUAUUAAUUUAUACAAUAAUGUGAAUGUGCAUUAGCUUAUAUAAGCUAUUGGUUAACAUUUUUUGUUGACUAAAUUCAAUUAACCAAGACUUUUUUACAUAAAAGUUGACUUUGGAAACACACAGUUUGGACCAGUUAACCCACAACUUUGCUUUGGGGUCUUCUUGGCUUUUUGUUUUCCCAGUUAAGCUUGGAAAGAUUUAAUUUGGAUUGUUUAAAAGUGUCACACUGAAGUCAUUCAAAUGUAUCAUCAUCAUCGUAAUACAAAUGGGUGAAAAAAAGCCAAGGAACAAUAUUAUAGUGCCAAUUAUUAUAAUCUUAGUGAUUAAACAGGAUCUACAUAAAAGUCAAAGCUAGGUGACGCUACAAGGAUGGUUAGAUGAUUGUUUGCAGUUAAACCGUUGGAGAUGAGGAUAAAAAAAGGUGAUAAAGAUAUGGUUAAGAGGUUUCCCUUUGUUUGUCACUCUAUGCUUCACCAAUACAAAUACCGUUGGUUAAUUACAAUUGAUUAAUCGUGGGUUAUUUUCGUGUUUUGAUGCUCUACAAAGUUAUUGAUUUAUUUUGAAAGGUAAAAUCAACUUGUUCAGCUUUCAUUGGAUACAGAACAGGCAAUUUAUCAUGUUGAUGGCUCACUGAUGGUAAAAUGCAAACGGAUAUUGUUCAUUGCUUAUAAAUACUAAAAUGCUGCCGUAAUGUUUGUCAAUUGUGAAUGGCAAUGUUAUGCGAGCCAAACUGUUUUUAAACCCGAGAGGAAAGAGAGUAAAAAUUCUUGUGGUUAACCGCUAACCAGGGACAAUUUAAUUGUUUGUUAUAUCAUCAUGAAAACUCUGGGCCAGUUACUGAGAUAUUUUGGGAAUGAAAUUACUGUUCACUUCAAAUUCAUCGACUUCAAUUAUUAUAAAUGUUUGCCAUUCAUCAUCUGGAUUUUUCAAUAUGAUACAAAAGCUGAGGCCAAAUUGCAUCAAUAUUUACUUUUGGCCUUUGAUUGAUAAACAUAAGAAAUGGAAAAGAAACCGUCCAACAAUCAUUGCAGUCAAAUUUCAAGCACUAUUCAUGUUUUCUCAAUCAUUUCCAUCUAGCUCUUUCCUCACUUUGUUUAUUACCAUGUUUACCAUUUCAAGUUACACUGAUAAAACUGCAUCUGUUAUUCGUGUUGACCUCUUAUCCCUUGGAAAUGACCCUAAAGAUGAGCAUUAUUAACUAUGCAAGGUUCUUCUUGUGCCACUUCUAUGGUCAGCCUUCUUUUUUAAAGGUCAGCUCGUGCCACAAAAAGAGAGAGAGAGAGGUUUAAAGCAAUACCUUACCCUGUCUUGACCCGACCCGAUGCCAGGUGAAACUGUUGUUCAAGGUAAACAAUACUCUAGGCCUGGGUUUAAAAAUGUCCAGGAGAUGUUGAAGAAAAAAAGUCUAAAGUUGAACACGUUCAUCAUCUGCUGCUGUCCUCACCUUUCACCUCUCAAUCUGUUCCUGUUCUUUCUCUUUGGUUCUUUUAAAUCCCUCACUUCCAUCUUUCUACCUUAGACAGGUUACCAACCUGCGUGACACGAGGUCACUUUAUUAUUAAUACUAUUGUUACAGUUUGCCCAAACUCAACCCGUUGACCAGGUUGCUGUUCACUUUACCUUGUAUGACCUUUGGAAACAUAUUGACAUAGCACUUACAAAAUAGUGAAUUAUUUAAAAAACAAUUUGGCUUUGGUUUUGGUAUUGGUCAAGCUCUGAUUGUGUUGACAAACUCAAGGAAAAAAAACAUUGCUCAGAAGCGUCUAACCACAACAAGGUUGACAUCAAAUGAUUUGGACCAAUGAUUUUUAGGAUAAGGCUUGAAGAUUAAGACAUCAGCUGAUAUUAACACUUCUGUUGAUAAGCAUAAGGGUUAAAGGAUGAAACCUUACUGUGAUUGACAGAUAAAUAAUUGAACUUAAUCCCACAAUUUUAAAAGCAUCAUCAUAAUAAUUUUGACCAAAAAGAUGGAGAAAUCAUUUAACCGUAAAACAAAAUAUUUUCCUUACUUAUCCUGAUUUAUACUUGCUGACCAAUUUUAACCAUAAUUUUGCGUCCAUCACUGCAAUUGGUAAAAGUCAAGCUCAUUUUUCAAUAGUUCAACUUAUCACAAAUUAAUUGAACUCAAACAAAAACAUUUUAACCUGAAAAAUUAAUUCAUAUUAAUCCAACUUAACCUGGAAAUCAAACAUUGGCUGUUGAGGAUUAUCAUGAAAAUGAGAGCGGAUGUUUCUUGUGUAAUUUUCAUCAUCCUGAUGCUCUAAAUAUUUUGGAGACCAGAUGAUCAGAAUUUAGCAGAUUCAGGAUUCCAAUUAUUACAUUAAUAACUUCAAUUUCCAUUAGUAACAGUAAACAAGCAAACUAUUACCUUUUUAUGGACACUUUGACAGCUUCAAACUUGGAGAUCAUGGUAUCGGUAAUUAACCUGGAAAAAAGGUUAAGAAAUUCAUAAAUUGAAUAAGAAUAGCAAAAUAUACCAAUCAAUUUGAUUAAAGGUUUUGUCAAAAUGAACAGUUUGAUGUGAAAAUUUGCUAUCUUUUCAACAAACCAUUAUGAUUUAUUCAUAUUAAUAGUAAACCAUGAAUGAUUUACUCUCAUCUUGCAACUAAUCAACAUUUAAUUUUGUUAUUAGAUUGUUACCUUCAACAUUGGUAUUGUAAAACAAUUAUCAAGUACUCGCCUUCAUUGUUACUGUAUAAGAGAAAUACUAACUACUGGAAAGUUUAAUUAUUUUAACAUCAGCAAUUGUAAAGAUAAUGGAAACUGAACUCAUGAUUUAGACCAUUAUAAAUACAUGAUUGAUGACAUUAUAAUGAUUUAAUUAUCUGUUGACCAUUUAAGUGUACAAAUAAUAAGUCUAAUUAUAUGUCUUAAUGAUAAAAUACAAUGUAAAGUUAGAAAGUGAUAAAAUAUUCUGGUUAAUAAACUGUAUUAUCCAACUCAA